rnacentral:rRNA from 1 species
GUCUACGGCCAUGCCAUCCUGAAUGUGCCCGAUCUCGUCUGAUCUCGGAAGCCAAGCAGGAUUGGACCUGGUUAGUACUUGGAUGGGAGACCACCUAGGAAUACCUGGUGCUGUAGGCA